AUUGAACGCUGGCGGCAUGCCUUACACAUGCAAGUCGAACGGCAGCACGGGAGCAAUCCUGGUGGCGAGUGGCGAACGGGUGAGUAAUAUAUCGGAACGUGCCCAGUCGUGGGGGAUAACGUAGCGAAAGCUACGCUAAUACCGCAUACGAUCUAUGGAUGAAAGCGGGGGAUCGCAAGACCUCGCGCGAUUGGAGCGGCCGAUAUCAGAUUAGGUAGUUGGUGAGGUAAAGGCUCACCAAGCCGACGAUCUGUAGCUGGUCUGAGAGGACGACCAGCCACACUGGGACUGAGACACGGCCCAGACUCCUACGGGAGGCAGCAGUGGGGGAAUUUUUGGACAAUGGGCGAAAGCCUGAUCCAGCAAUGCCGCGUGAGUGAUGAAGGCCUUAGGGUUGUAAAGCUCUUUUACCCGAGAUGAUAAUGACAGUAUCGGGAGAAUAAGCUCCGGCUAACUCCGUGCCAGCAGCCG
rnacentral:rRNA from 1 species